GGAUCAAAUAAUCGGUCGUGCCUCCGGUACGUACUGGUUUUAUUGGUUUCUCCCUUCUGACGAACCAUGAUGUCAUUAAUUUGAUGUCGUGGAGAAUCAGGACUGUUACUUUGAAAAAAUUAGAGUGUUUAAAGCAGGCAUUAGCUUGAAUACAUUAGCAUGGAAUAAUGAAAUAGGACGUUUGAUCCUAUUUUGUUGGUUUCUAGGAUUGACGUA
rnacentral:rRNA from 1 species